UAGGUGAAAAUAGAGAAUGCCACAAGACAUCUGGUGAACCUAUUGAGGAAUUCCCUGGGUGCAGGUCCUUCAAACAUUAGUGUUUCUCAAAGUGAUGAAACGCCGGGUGGCCCUAGGACCUUUGAGGCUGACAGAGUGCAGGCUCCGAGAGGAUGCCAGGCAGGUCCUAGAACCAUUGAGGCUGGCAAAGUGCAACAGGAUAUGGCCAGAGCAUUUCCAGGCCUUUUUAAAUCUAAAGCUGGAGGAAAACUUACAAGAAAAAGGUGUAGAAAAUCUACUCCUGUGCAGUUCUUUCUCCUGGAUGAAUAUAGAGAGAGAACCCCAAAAGGAAGUAAAGAAAUGGUCCUUCUCCAGGCAGGAUUGGG